UUAUAUUUUAUUUUUUGCAUUUUAAAACUUCUCAUGUAUUAUUACUUCUGUAUUCACCUGUGUGACUCCUGAAUCACUCAGUCUAUGUGAGCCAUGGUAGGCAUGACUGUUGCAUUUGAAUGAAGAAAUUGAAACAUCUGAAUUAAACUUCCCCUUGCAGAAACACUUGUCAGUUACUGAGGAGAUCUGUUUCCCCCGUGAACUGAUGCAUAAGGGAUUUUAAACAUGUGCCACUGAAGUGCAUUUUAUAGGCUGUUUUUUAAAAAACCUUUUGUACAACCCUAAAAUAUAUUUAACUUUCUCUUAACACUGCUUUGUUGGACACUUGCCAAAAUAAAUUUGUAAUGCAAUGUGUAUUAUCUGGUUUACCAGUUUGGAAUUUUGCCUAUGUCUGCAUCCUCAGUAUUGAUAAAACUGAGAAUUUUCUAGGAAAAUGGUUAAAUUCUAAAGGCAAUUUCGUGGCUUUGAUCUUUGUGCAGCAAUCCCAGUAACAGAGAGAAUAACCACGAAGAGAAAUGAGGGUAUGCUCCAACAACAACUUCGUACUUUGAAACAAAAUGAGGAAAAGGAUUUUGAGGAAAUGAACUCAAAUAGGUUGAUCUCCAGAAUAUACAAUGAGUGCAAUAUCUUACAUUACAGUGAACCACUUCAGAUCAAUAUUGCCCUGUCUGAAUAUAUGUUAUAUCUUGGCUGACUACACGACACGGUUUGGAAGUUAUCCUACAACUAGACUCAAGCACAGAUCCCCAUUUAUCAUGUAAGUAAAUAUAUCAUUUGUGUUUAAAUGAUUUUUUUUUUUCUUUUCCCUGCCCAGGAAAGAGGAAUUUGAUGACUUGCUGAAAGUUUCAGGAAGCCCCAGAGAAAUGACUGCUGCACUUCAUGAUCAGUUUGGACACACAGGAUUUAUGUACUGUGAUAAACAUGAUCUGGCUCCCUAGAAACACUGCUGUUUUAAUGGCUAAAGGGCAGAAGCAACUACAGGGCUCACAAAGUAUAUGAUGGUAUAUUCUCAAGCAUAUGGUGUCCUUUAUGGGUGUUCCUCUUGAGUUUUGCUGUGAAGGGUAUUAAAGGAGAAGAAAACAUAUUUCCCUGGUUAAACUUCUGCUCAUUCAUAGGGGGAAAAGUCCAGAAUUAUAUCUUUUCCCUACUGACAGGGUAUUGUAACCUUACUGUGAGAUACUUCUGCCCAACAUUGUUUCUAUGAAUAGUAGAUUGUAAAUUGAUAGUGGACAGCAAACACACAAUAGUUGGUGGCAACUCUGGAUAGCAAGUAUCACAAAACUAAAGACUAAUCAAAGGAAGCUAGUAGUUAUAAUUGUUCUUCCAGAAUUCCAUACUGGGGGAGAAAAACAGGAGCUGGAGUCAUAAGAAUCAGGGAAGUAAUCAGGGAUGAUGUAUGAGGGGGAUAAAAGUGUUCAAGAAAGAAUCACAUAUGAUGCCAUGGCACACUGUUACCCUCUCUCUAGUCCCCCACUGCUGGGGUUUUAGCUGCUUGUGUAGGGGGUCCAGCUUUGAUACACUCCAGCUGUGUAACCUUGACUCAGACUGCUGAGCCAGAGCUGUGAGACCGUCUGUACAGGGAUAAGAAAAGUAAAAAAUUACAGAGAGUGGUAGGACUGCUGAUUUGUGAUUGCUAGGAGACCAAGGACUCAGCAGAGAAAACAUCUAUGUGAAAUGCUAAUACCUUAAGGAAA
rnacentral:lncRNA from 1 species